UGGCGCUAAAAGUUUUGAGCUUCUCAAAAGUGUAGACCCACCAUCCAGGGAGCAGGUAGCUUUUGAGCUCCAGGAACACUUGGCGUCUGGGCUCGGAACGUGCUUUCGACAGUGACACACUUCCCUGAGGACUGGCAGCCAGACUGCCUUCGGGGUCAGUGCCAUGGAGGAGCCACACUCAGAUCUCAGCAUCGAGCCCCCACUGAGUCAGGAAACAUUUUCAGACCUAUGGAAACUACUUCCUGAAAACAACAUUCUGUCCCCCUCGCUGUCCCAACCGGUGGAUGACUUGAUGCUAUCACCGGAUGACAUUGACAUUGCACAAUGGUUCAGUCAAGACCCGGUUCCAGAUGAAGAUUCCACAGUAUCAGAGGCUCCUCCGACCGUGGCCCAGGCUCCGGCAGCUCCUACAUCAGCAGCCCCCACACCAGCCCCCUCCUGGCCCCUGUCAUCCUCUGUCCCUUCCCAGAAAACCUACCGUGGUGACUACGGUUUCCGUCUGGGCUUCUUGCAUUCUGGGACAGCCAAGUCUGUGACUUGCACGUACUCCCCUGACCUCAACAAGAUGUUUUGCCAGCUGGCCAAGACCUGCCCCGUGCAGCUGUGGGUCGAUUCCACACCCCCGCGUGGCACCCGCGUCCGCGCCAUGGCCAUCUACAAGCAGUCACAGCACAUGACGGAGGUCGUGAGGCGCUGCCCCCACCAUGAGCGCUGCUCAGAUAGCGAUGGUCUGGCCCCUCCUCAGCAUCUUAUCCGAGUGGAAGGAAAUUUACAUGUGGAAUAUUUGGAUGACAAAAACACUUUUCGACAUAGUGUGGUGGUGCCCUAUGAGCCGCCUGAGGUCGGCUCUGAUUGUACCACCAUUCACUACAACUACAUGUGUAACAGUUCCUGCAUGGGCGGCAUGAACCGGAGGCCCAUCCUCACCAUCAUCACGCUGGAAGACUCCAGUGGUAAUCUGCUGGGACGGAACAGCUUUGAGGUGCGCGUUUGUGCCUGUCCUGGGAGAGACCGGCGCACAGAGGAAGAGAAUUUCCGCAAGAAAGGGGAGCCUUGUCUUGAUCUGCCCCCUGGGAGCACUAAGCGAGCAAUGCCCAACAGCACCAGCUCCUCUCCCCAGCCAAAGAAGAAGCCACUGGAUGGAGAAUAUUUCACCCUUCAGAUGCUACUUGACUUACGAUGGUGUUACUUCCUGAUAAACUCAUUAUCCGUGGACGUGAGCGCUUUGAGAUGUUCCGAGAGCUGAAUGAGGCCUUGGAGCUCAAGGAUGCCCAGGCUGGGAAGGAGCCAGGGGGGAGCAGGGCCCACUCCAGCCACCUGAAGUCCAAGAAGGGGCAGUGUACCUCCCGCCAUAAAAAACUAAUGGUCAAGAGAGAGGGACCUGACUCAGACUGACAUUCUUCGCUUCUUGUUCCCCACUGACAGCCUCCCACCCCAUCUCUCCCUCCCCUACCAUUUUGGGUUUUGGAUCUUUGAACCCUUGCUUGCGAUAGGUGUGCAUCAGAAACACCCAGGACUUUGGUUUGCUUUGUCCCGGAGCCCGACUGAGGAAGCUGGCCUGCAUUUGUGUUUUGUUGUGGGGAGGAGGAUGGGGGUUAGGACAUACCAGCUUCAAUUUUAAGGUUUUUACUGUGAGGGAUGUUUGGGAGAUGUAAGAAUUGUUCUUGCAGGUAAGGGUUAGUUCACAAUCAACCACACACUAGGCAGGGGCCCACUUCUUCACUGUACUAACCAGGGAUGCUGUCCCACACUCUCAUUUCCUCUAACUUCAAGGUCCAUAACUAUGAAAUGCUGGCCUUUGGACCUACCUCACAGAGUAUGUUGUGAGGGUGAAUGAAAUAAUGUAUGUCUGGCCGUGAAACCGUUUUUUAUUACAUGGGGUCUUGAACUUGAUCCCCUUGAGGGUGCUUGUUCCCUGUCCCUGUUGGUCAGUGGCUGGUAGUUCCUACAUUUGGGCAGCUGAUUAGGUAGAGGGCGUUGCCAAGUCUCUGCUUGCCUGGCCAAAUCCUCUCUGACAACCUCUUGGUGAACCUUAGCACCUAAAGGGAAAUCUCAGCCCAUCCCACACCCUGGAGAUUUCAUUUCUUGUAUAUGAUGAUCUGGAUCCACCAAGACUUGUUUUAUGCUCAGGGUCAAUUUCUUUUCUUUUUUCUUUGGGACGGGGUCUUGCUCUGUUGCCCAGGCUGGAGAGCAGUGGUGAUCUUGGCUCACCACAGCCUUCACCUCCCCGGCUCAAGCAAUUCUUCUGCUUCAGCCUUUCAAGUAGCUGGGACCACAGGCUCAUGCCACCACAGCUGGCUAAUUUUUACAUGUUUUGUAGAAAUGGAGUCUCGAAAUGUUGGCCAGGCUGGUCUCAAACUCCUGGGCUCAAGCGAUCUGCCUGCCUCGGCCUCCCAGAGUGCUGGGAUUACAAGUGUGAGCCACCGUGUCCAGCUGGAAGGGUCAAUGUCUUUUACGUUCUGCAAGCACAUCUGCAUUUUCACCCCACCCCUUCCCCCCUUCCCUUUUUAUAUCCCAUUUUUAUAUCGAUUUCUUAUUUUGCAAUAAAACUUUGUUGCCACC